AAAGCCAUGAGGUCGAUCAGUAAUCAGAGAUCCUCAGGAGACUUGAAUAAGCCACACUCUCCAUGCUGAAUAUCCUUCCUAGAAUUCGCUCAUCUGUCAUGUUGAUCUCCGGGAUGUAAAGUGGGGUACAAAAUCAUUGUCAUAGUGUUCUAAGGAAUGUUCCCUGGAAAAUAGGUGUCUAAGCAUCUUCCAAAUAGUAUCCGUUGGUCGUGGAGCCAAGUAAUCCAUGUGUGGAGUAUCGACAUCCUGAUCGUAAUUCCAUCGGAAGCCAUCAAAGGAAAUCAGGAGGAGCUUGUGGACGCCUGCUGUCUUCUCCUUCUGGACAGCUGGAUAGCAG